AUGGAACAGACUCCUCAGUCCCUGAGCAUCCAGGAGGGUGAAAAGGCCAUUCUGACCUGUAACUACACAAAUUCUCCAGUGUCCUUACAGUGGUACCGACAAGAUCUGGGAAAAGGCCUCAUCUUCUUGUUACUAAUACGUGAAAAUGAGCGCGAGAAACAGACAGGAAGGCUGAGGGCCACCUUUGACACCACCAUCAAACAGGGCUCCUUUCAUAUAACAGCCUCCCAGCCUGCAGACUCAGCCACCUACCUCUGUCCUGCAGACACACCGUGGGGCACUGCCACUCGCUUCCUGUACUGA